UUUGUAAACAACGUGAUGGGUAAGCUAUGCUAAUUUAGUGCAGUUUAUCGAUAUUGUACAUAACUGCAGUUCUAAUUUCUAUACUUAUUGGCCUGACAAUACCUCGUAUGGAAUCAUAACGGUAAAAUUCAUUGAGCAUCUUAGUGCCGACAUUUCGUUGGAUAAAGUUGACUAUUCGAAGAUUAUAUAUUACCAACUUGAACUUGCAAUUGAGGCUUUAAGGGGGGAGGCAUAUAUUGAGGAAAGCCUUUAUAUGAAGAUGCAGACAUCGAAGCUGUGCUAGAGGUGCUUUAUAUGGUCAUCCAUACAUUUUAAUAGAGCUAUUUGGUUUAGGUAUUCUGUGUAGCAAGGUGAAAUGUAAUAUUGUAUAUUCGGUGGUAGUGGCUAAUUGCCUUACAUGGCACAUACAUUGAUUCCA